AUAGACAUAAAGCCAGGGGGAGGUAAAGGAGGAAUUACACUUUAUUAAAAUAUUUACGUAUUGCAUAUGUUUUAGUUCCUUUCUUAUUACUUGAGAAAAAAUGUCUUUAUUUAUAUACAUUUUAAUUUGCUAGAAAUUCGUUUUGUCUGUUUCUGUCACAUACCGUCACCGGCGUCACGUGACACAGACGCGAACUUUUAAUUUUUUUUACAGACGCGAUUCCUUCUAUGACCUAAUAUGGAUUCCAUGACAACCAGAUGACAACACAUAGAACGCCAGCUCUCGGGCUAUAUAAAGCGCAGUUCCACAGUGUUGAGUUAUUCUGUGGUGAGUUUAGGAAGAGAACGGUCAGCCUUAAAACACUCAGGUUCCUCCUACAUGCCCUGAUCUCCACCCCUCUAACCAGCUGCUGCUUCAACCCAUCGCUCUACAGUCUACAGUGGGUGUCCUCGCUCAGGGUUAAAGUCUCUGCCCACUGAAUGCUCUGUCUACUGGGGAGAAACUUCUGUAGAAGUUUCAUCUCUGCACAUGACUUAUUCUGUGGUGAGGGUAAGAACUGUAAACCUUAAAACACUCUGAUGAGAAACACUGCAAGACAGGUAGAAGGGGAAACAUGUUUACCUUAUGAAGCAUUAAGAUAUUCUUUUGUUGAUAUGAUAAUUAAUUGACAUGUUUUUUUAUAAUUAGAAAUUAUACUGCUGUAAACUAAUAUAUAUUAUUAUGCAUUGUGUAAAUACGUUAAAACAGAUGUAAAGGCCAACAAGUUUUUUUUACUUAAACACUAAACUAAUACAAUUAGAAGUAGGCUCCUGCCCUGUAAUGCGGGUUUGUGGCUCAAAGGGCAGGGCCCUAUAGUUAUUUAUUUUGAAAAUAUCUAAAUACCUUGUUUCAAAAUGUUUCAUAACCGGCCAAUACCGAUGAGAGAUCCAGAGCAUACCCGCAACAGGGCUGCUUGAAGUCUUGGACUUCCAGGGUCUCUGACCCUACCGGCCGAGCCUGAUGAGAAGUCUUGGACUUCCAAGGUCUCUGACCCUACCGGCCAAGCCCGACAUGAGGUGUCCAUCUCAGACGCACAAGUGGGACAGGGCCGCCUGCCAUCCUGGAAGUCUUGGACUUCCAGAGUGUCUAACCCUAAUGGCCAAAAUGAGAGGUGUCCAGAGCAUACGCGCAAGCGGGACAGGGCCGCUUGUCGUCCUAGAAGUCUUAGACUUCCAGGGGGUCUGACCCUAAUAGCCGAUAGGACUCAAAAAAAGAUGCGCAAGCAAGACAGGGCUGCCUGCUCUCCUGGAAGUUUUGGACUUCCAGGGUCUACGACCCUACCACCCUACGAACCUUCUCGUCUGGCUCUGCCGGUAGGGUCAGAGCAUAUGCACAAGCGGGACAGGGCCACCUGCUGUUGGAAGUCUUGGACUUCCAGAGUGUCUGACCCUAACGGCCGAGCCCAAACAUAGGACUAAAAAAUGGAUGUGCACGCGGGAUACGGCCGCCUGCCGUCCUGGAAGGUUUGUACUUCCAGGGUCUACGACCCUAUUGGCAGAGCCCGACAAGAAGUGUCCAGAGCAUAUGCGCAAGUGGGACAAGGCCGCUUGGCGUCCUGAAAGUUUUGUACUUCCAUAGUGUCUGACCCCUCCAGCCGAGCCCAACAAGAGGUGUUCAGAACAUACACGCAAGCGGGACAGGGCCGCUUGCUGUCCUGGAAGUCUUGGACUUUCAGAGUGUCUGACCCUAAUGGCCAAAAGGAGAGGUGUCCAGAGCAUACGCGCAAGCGGGAGAGGGCCGCUUGCUGUCCUAGAAGUCUUAGAUUUCCAGGGUAUCCGACCCCUCUGACUGAGCCUAAUGAGAGGUGUCAAGAGUUUAAAUGCAAGCGGGACAGGGCCGCCUGUUGUCCUGGAAGUCUUGGACUUCCAGGGUCUCCGACCUUACCGUCCAAGCCCGACGAUAACUCUUGGGCAGGACAGGACCGCUUGUCGUCCUAGAAGUCUUAGACUCCCAGGGUGUCUGACCCUAAUAGCCAAGCCCAAAGAUAGGCCUCAAAAAUAGAUACGCAAGCAAGACAGGGCUGUCUGCUCUCCUGGAAGUUUUGGACUUCCAGGGUCUACAACCCUACGACCCUUUUUGUCUGGCUCUGCCAGUAGGGUCAGAGCAUACGCACAAGCGGGACAGGGCCGCCUGCUGUUGGAAGUCUUGGACUUCCAGAGUGUCUGACCCUAACGGCCGAGCCCAAACAUAGGACUCAAAAACAGAUGUGCAGGCGGGACAGGGCCACCUGCCGUCCUGGAAGUUUUGUACUUCCAGAGUGUCUGACCCCUCCGGCCGAGCCCGACAAGAGGUGUCCAGAGCAUACACGCAAGCGGGACAGGGCCGCCUGCUGUCCUGGAAGUCUUGGACUUCCAGAGUGUCUGACCCUAAUGGCCAAAAGGAGAGGUGUCCAGAGCAUACGCGCAAGCGGGACAGGGCCGCUUGCCGUCCUAGAAGUCUUGGACUUUUAGGGUCUCCGACCUUACCGUCCAAGCCUGACGAUAAGUCUUGGGCAGGACAGGACCGCUUGUCAUCCUAGAAGUCUUAGACUUCCAGGGUGUCUGACCCUAAUAGCAGAGCCCAAAGAUAGGACUCAAAAAUAGAUGCGCAAGCAAGACAGGGCUGCCUGCUCUCCUGGAAGUUUUGGACUUCCAGGGUCUACAACCCUACCACCCUACGACCCUUCUCGUCUGGCUCUGCCAGUAGGGUCAGAGCAUACGCACAAGCGGGACAGGGCUGCCUGCUGUUGGAAGUCUUGGACUUCCAGAGUGUCUGACCCUAACAGCCGAGCCCAAACAUAGGACUCAAAAAUGGAGUCUGCCGUCUGCCGUCCUGGAAGUUUUGUACUUCCAGGGUCUACGACCCUAUUGGCAGAGCCCGACAAGAAGUGUCCAGAGCAUAUGCGCAAGUGGGACAAGGCCGCUUGGCGUCCUGGAAGUUUUGUACUUCCAUAGUGUCUGACCCCUCUGGCCGAGCCCGACAAGUCUUGGACUUCCAGGGUCU